rnacentral:rRNA from 1 species
AGAGUGAACGCUGGCGGUAGGCCUAACACAUGCAAGUCGAACGGCAGCACAGUAGGAGCUUGCUCUUACGGGUGGCGAGUGGCGGACGGGUGAGGAAUACAUCGGAAUCUACCUUUUGGUGGGGGAUAACGUAGGGAAACUUACGCUAAUACCGCAUACGCCCUUCGGGGGAAAGCCGGGGACCAGCAAUGGCCUGGCGCUGAUAGAUGAGCCGAUGUCGGAUUAGCUAGUGUGAGGUA